ACAAGCAAUUUCCAACCUAAAAUCGCCACCACCACUGCCAAACAAAGCGCACAACAAUCACAAAGUCAAUUAUAUAUACAAGCACACAAUCCCUUACCGUCUUUCUGCAUUUGCUUGCACAAAAGUGCUGAAAUUGAACCCAGAAACCAGCAAAUCGAGCAGUGACGAAAAGAAACUAAAACGUCCGAUAGACGUCGUUGUGUCGGACGUGAGCCGAUCCACAUAGGACAAAGACUCUGAAACUAAUGAAUGGAUUUGUUACCAGUUACGACAAGGGCAUUUGUGGGAGAAGAAAGAAAGCACGUGCAGCGAGCGAGGGGAUAAGGUUCGAAGACUCUGAAGUCUUGUUGGUCGUUAUCAUGAUGAUGAUGGAGGAGAGCGGGUUUUCAUCGGACUUGGCUACUGUAGCCGAGCGCUUCGCUUCUUCCUCUACUUAUCAUAAUAAUUCAAUUCUAAUGGGACUGACCAGAAAGUUUAUAUCAAUGGAGGAAUUGGAAUUGGAUACUACAGGUAUAUGUACUUAACUCCAAUUCAUCAUGUCGAAGUGGUGUGACCUUUAAUUUCCUGAAGUUUCCAGAAAUCUAUGCGCUUUCCAUCUCUUAAUGCGUGUUUGCAGCGUCAUCAAAGUAUGGUUGGAGAUGUAUCAUGGCAUUCUAAGAAUGAGAAUCUGUUUGGAUCUGUGCGGGACGAUCGUCAAUCAAUCGAUUAUUCAUGGGGCUCGAGAACAGAUCAAGCCCCAAGACUCUGUCAAAGUUCAUGAUAAAGAAGUGAAGCAAUUUUUAACAGUAUCAUUUAUAUGAUUUUCAUUCGUAGGAUUUCACACUGGUAAACCAUCUGUCUUUCCAUCCAUGUAAUGAGUGGAUUUUGCCUAUAGCAUCUUCAGACACUACUGUGGGUGUUUGAUAUGCAGAAGCUGACUGUACCAUUGCAUGCUCUGAGUGGUCACACAGAAGAGGUAUUCCAGGUUGAAUGUGACCCUAAUCAUGACACUGUGUUGGCAUCUUAGGUGACAGAAGGUUGAUAGUUUGGGACCUUAAUAGGAUUGGGGAUGAGCAGUUGGAGGGAGAUGGUGAUGAUGGGCCACCAGAACUUUUGUUUUCACAUGGUGGUCUUAAAGCAAAGAUAUCAUAUUUCUCAAGGGUAGUAUGCUUUGGUCUUAAGAAUGGCCAGUAUAAACUUAUUUCCUCAGGCUAAGUCUUUGAUGUAGAAGAAGGAAAGCACUUGCAGCGAGGGGAUAAGGUUUGAAUUAUUCUCGUUCACCUUUCCUCUCUACAAAAUAUGAAGAUCCCCUUUGAAGAAACUCAAGAAACCUUAAAUCUGCACGCAGAGCUUAGUUGAAGUCUUCUUUUUCUUAGAAGAAAGCGUGAAUCUGAUAAACAAGGUAUCUAAAAUUUUGGGAUAGCUCUAUUGAUCUUGUUAAUGUCCUGAAGCAUGAGAUAUGAGAUGGGCAACUGAGCUUUAGAGGAAAAAGGCAUUUUGGGAAGGAAAUAAUAGCCAAGGAACUUCAAGUUGAUGAAGGACACCUUGAUGUGCAGAGGUUAUUUUUGGCUGUUUACAAGAGCUUUAUGGACACCUUGUGUGUUUCAUUGUAUCUGUGCUCCUCUAUAUAAGGUCACGCUGCCAGAUUUCUUCUUGGCUGAUCAGUUCAGUAGCCAGAUACAAUGCUCUGGAGAGGAGAAAAGCUUGCAAGGGCGGUAAAGAAGUAAGCAAGAGAGCUGCCCAAUCACAAUCAUCCACUAAGGGUACAGCAGCUUCCUAAAGAGCUCAUUCCUCUCAUGAUUCAAUAAUGUACUACAUUCUGGGAAUCAAUCAGUACCAAGCCAAGAUUGCCAUCAAGUCCAUACCAAAAGCCUCUGAAAUCAGUCAAGCAACCACUGAUUCCAACUAAAGAUGAGCAGGAGAAGCAAGAAAGCAUCAGUUAUAUUAUUUAGCAUGAGAAGACAAAGAAAACAAGGUAAUGAGCUCAUGGCCUGUAAAGUCUGCUGAAGCUCAUGGCCUGGAAGCUCUGAAGUGCAAUAGGCUUGAAAUUUAUUUUUGGGGCUGGCCUGACAAUUUUAAGUACAUUUUUGGAUGUAUUUUGCUAUGGGAGUUUCUUAGAUGUACUCCUUUGCACGUAGAGGGUAGUUCCCAAAUAUUCAUACAUAAAAAUACAAUGGCAUUUGUUC